rnacentral:rRNA from 1 species
ACGAACGCUGGCGGCGUGCUUAACACAUGCCAGUCGAACGGAAAGGCCCUGCUUUUGUGGGGUGCUCGAGUGGCGAACGGGUGAGUAACACGUGAGUAACCUGCCCUUGCCUUUGGGAUAACUUCAGGAAACUGGGGCUAAUACCGGAUAGGAGCUCCUGCUGCAUGGUGGGGGUUGGAAAGUUUCGGCGGUUGGGGAUGGACUCGCGGCUUAUCAGCUUGUUGGUGGGGUAGUGGCUUACCAAGGCUUUGACGGGUAGCCGGCCUGAGAGGGUGACCGGCCACAUUGGGACUGAGAUACGGCCCAGACUCCUACGGGAGGCAGCAGUGGGGAAUAUUGCACAAUGGGCGGAAGCCUGAUGCAGCAACGCCGCGUGCGGGAUGACGGCCUUCGGGUUGUAAACCGCUUUCGCCUGUGACGAAGCGUGAGUGACGGUAAUGGGUAAAGAAGCACCGGCUAACUACGUG